rnacentral:rRNA from 1 species
UGGGGAAUAUUGGACAAUGGGCGCAAGCCUGAUCCAGCCAUGCCGCGUGAGUGAUGAAGGCCUUAGGGUUGUAAAGCUCUUUCACCGGUGAAGAUAAUGACGGUAACCGGAGAAGAAGCCCCGGCUAACUUCGUGCCAGCAGCCGCGGUAAUACGAAGGGGGCUAGCGUUGUUCGGAUUUACUGGGCGUAAAGCGCACGUAGGCGGACUUUUAAGUCAGGGGUGAAAUCCCGGGGCUCAACCCCGGAACUGCCUUUGAUACUGGAAGUCUUGAGUAUGGUAGAGGUGAGUGGAAUUCCGAGUGUAGAGGUGAAAUUCGUAGAUAUUCGGAGGAACACCAGUGGCGAAGGCGGCUCACUGGACCAAUACUGACGCUGAGGUGCGAAAGCGUGGGGAGCAAACAGG